rnacentral:rRNA from 1 species
AGGACGAACGCUGGCGGCGUGCUUAACACAUGCAAGUCGAGCGAGGCCCUUCCUUCGGGAAGGUGCCCUAGCGGCGAACGGGUGAGUAACACGUGGGCAACCUGCCCCUAGCACUGGGAUAACUCCGGGAAACCGGGGCUAAUACAGGAUAUGACCUCCGAGGGCAUCCUUGGUGGUGUAAAGGAUUCUGGCUAGGGAUGGGCCCGCGGCCUAUCAGCUUGUUGGUGGGGUAAUGGCCUACCAAGGCGACGACGGGUAGCCGGCCUGAGAGGGCGACCGGCCACACUGGGACUGAGACACGGCCCAGACUCCUACGGGAGGCAGCAGUGGGGAAUAUUGCACAAUGGGCGAAAGCCUGAUGCAGCGACGCCGCGUGAGGGAUGACGGCCUUCGGGUUGUAAACCUCUUUCAGCAGGGACGAAGCGAAAGUGACGGUACCUGCAGAAGAAGCACCGGCCAACUACGUGCCAGCAGCCGCGGUAA